AUAUAUGUUUUGUGUAGGCGAUAUAUGUUUUGUAAAGGUGGUCUAUGUUUUGUAAAGGUGGUCUAUGUUUUGUAAAGGUGGUCUAUGUUUUGUAAAGGUGAUCUAUGUUUUGUAAAGGUGAUCUAUGUUUUGUAAAGGUGGUCUAUGUUUUGUAAAGGUGAUCUAUGUUUUGUAAAGGUGGUCUAUGUUUUGUAAAGGUGAUCUAUGCUCUAAAAUGGAGCUGUACGUUAUAUAAAGGUGCUAAGCGUUGUGUAACGGUGAUCAAUAUUGAAUAACACUAAAAUACAAAGUUAUAACAGUAGAAUACGUUUUCUAGCGGCAGUACAUGUUUCUAUUUGGCUGAAGGGUAGCUUGAACUAUAAACAGAUGUCCCGGCGUCUUGAACAUUCUUGAAAUACUGGACCAGGCAUAGAGUUUCGGCACAUACCAGCCCAUAAAGUAAAACAUGACACUGGGGGUCACCACCAGAUGUCUUCCUUGCCUCGUGUAACGAAGUAUUACACCACGCAUGACUUCACUGUGCACCAGAGGCUGAGAUAAGGUACUGUCUGGAUAGAGACCAUACCGGGGUUGGGAAGAGCUCAAUACAUUGAAGUCUAGAAACAUUGUUCACUUUUGAUGACGCCACACAAAAAUUGUUUUUAUUCGUUUUAUAACUCAAGACAAAUUGGCAAAUUGUCUGGGUGGAAAGACAUACUCAUUUUUGAUACCCAUUGUUGUGAUUCCUCUAUCUUAUAAAUUACAGACGUUCCUUUAAAGAAGAUAAUUACGUCCUACGCGUAUACAUAGUUUAAGGGAGCGGAGUAUCCCUUAGUGAGCGUACUUCAAAACAACAUCGAUUAGGGUUAACGCUGAAAAAAUAGAAGAAAACAUUCGAUACAAGCUGAGCUGGUACGGUCCUAUUGUAAGACAUGUCUCACUUUCAAAAGUCAUUAAAAUUUUCUUUAUUCUCACAAGAUAAAAAAAAAAAAUUAAAAAGACAGGACUCUAUGUUAAACAGCUAGAAGUGGGUGUACAUAUUUACAUUAAAUGUAGCGAGAUGACGAACGUAUUUAUAAUAUGAAAACAAAACUCUCAAAGGCGAUUUUUUUUCUUCUUUUAUAAAUAUAUGAUCUACUCUGAUAAAUGAUCAAUUAAAAAAACAAUAACAAUAUGCCAAAAUGGCAUAAAAAUAUCCUCAAACCUGAAGAAAUGACGGCUGCUGAACACGCGUUGGCAGAUGGUACCCAUUUAGUCAUCCAGUACAUAGACCCCCAACCCCAAACCUUUUUUUGUUUUUUUGGCGACGACUUAAAAAAAAUGUUACGAUUCUUUUCAAAACCAGCGGCCCUAUUAGCCAGCCCAUUAAACUAGAGGUUACCGUUAUUUUAAUUGUGUUUAUUUUCAGUCCAAACAAUCGUCAAAGUCGCAAACCAGUUACCCAAAAA
rnacentral:sRNA from 1 species